rnacentral:rRNA from 1 species
UGGGCAACCUGCCCCUCUCUCUGGGAUAACCCCCGGGGAAACCGGAGCUAAUACCGGAUACUCCGAUCGGAUCACAUGGCUCGAUCGGGAAAGGUCCGCCGGAGAGGGAUGGGCCCGCGGCCUAUCAGCUUGUUGGUGAGGUACGCUCACCAAGACGACGACGGGUAGCUGGUCUGAGAGGAUGGCCAGCCACAGUUGGGACUGAGACACCGGCCCAGACCUCCGUACGGGAGCA